GGGAACAAUUAUGUUCUAUUGAUAUUCAUCGAAGCAAUGGAGAGCAUCAAGAAGGAAUUUUUCAGGCUACCAUAUAUAAGGAUAGCAAGCAACUCAAUUAAACAUUACUGAAAUGGUGAGUUUAGUGUUUUUUUUAUUUGUAGUAUGGGCCUCUUGAGAAGUUGACAGUAACAUAUUCGGCUUCCAUUCCAUUUAAUUAGUACUAAAUUAGGCUCUAUUAUCACAAUAUGGUGGAUUUUUGCGACGAUACUUAUUUAUUUGCUCACUUAUUUUAGAAAGAAGUGGUUGGUUUCUACUGGAAUAGAAAUCUUAAGAACUAUUAAAUACCAGCAAGUUGUGUCUUAUUUAAGAAUGGUUACCUCUAUCACUGAAAGCUAGCUGUUUUCAGCGAAUUGGCUGUGUUUUGAAGAAAAUGAGGUAUGACUUUACAAACUGCAAGCACGCGAAUAAAAAUUGAACCAUGGGAGGAGAUAUGCUCUCUCCAUUGUGACCACUGAUAUUUUUUAGCCCGAUGUAGGUGAUUCAUUUUUCAUUCCAAGCAUAAAUGAUCACCUAUAUAAGCUUAAAUAUUGUCUAUUAAUAUUUAGAAAAUAUGUUUAUUUCACCUCCAGAUUCUGCUUUAGAGCUGCAAAUCGUACUCUAAUACCAUGGACAGGAGCCUUUGAAACUUUUGCAGGUUUCCGACCGCCGGUCGGCCUCGUCGCUGGUAAAAACAGUGUGCCACCCUGCCGACCAUGGCCCUGGAUGGCCAUAGCGUGCGUGGUCUAGACUAGCCUGCCCGAGCUCCCCCUGUGACCUUGGUUGCCGCCCGCUACAUGUUUGAUGGCCCUUCCGUGAUUGCAGAUCGACUCCCUCCUGGUUUGCUGCCUUUCCUCGAUCGACAUGGCGGACAGGCGGCGACCAGGCGGGUUCUGGUUCUGCUAUGGAUCGCCGGUGAUGGAUAAUUGACGUCCAUUAUCUGAACUUCCGUGAACUCUGCUUCGCUGCUCCAACAAAGAACCAGCUCGAUGGGACGACGCGGCGGCCAGGCAGGUUCUGAUUCUUCUCGCCGGCCUGACAGGACCUGACCAACACCCCUAUCAAUAACUGGUGCUGGGUUAGAUGAUGAUGUGAACACAAAUCCUGGCUCACAAGGUGUGUCGUUUGGCGAUGAAAACACUCCUUGCCCCCAAUGAUCUUUGGAGAUCAAAGUCUAGGGAAAAGUAUGCUUCCAUGUAUGAGGACAAAAGGGCCGCGCUUAAUGCCAAACGCAGGGAGAACUACCAUCAUAAGAAGGCCGAACGACUUACGGCAUCAGGUAUCAAUGUUACAAUUUGCCUAUGGCUUACGUGCACCAAGAGGAUAUUGAUGUUUGGCAAAUUUUGGCCACGGACAUUCAAAAAACGAUGUCUUUGCUGCAGCACACCGCCAACUACGUUUUUAGCCAUGGCACAUUAGCCUUUCACGUUAAUUGGUUGUAGCACACCGUAGCCAAGAAACAAUCAAUUUCGCCGGAUUUGGAGAGAGAGCGUUAAGUGUGUGGACAAUUUUGCCCCUGGCUCCGUUAAGUGGUCUGACCCAACCGCUCGGUCGGUCGGUCUGCUUCUUCUUCCCCUAGCUCAUCUUCCUCUCUCUUCCUCUCUCGUUCCUUUCCUCUCCUUGUGAAACCCUAGCAACCGAGGGCCCGAUAGAAGAGGAGGAUGGCUUGGAGCUGUCAGAACUCGGGUGCCCCUGCUUUGGACGCGUAUAGGGACGGUGAAGGCAAUCUCCCGUUGGUAGAUUGCAAAAAGUGCGGCACUCAGAUCAUUGGCCUGGUGUCGAAGAAGGAGCACAGCUAUGGUCAAAGGUUCUACAAGUGUCCACUAGUUAAUCAUCUGUACAUGUGGGAGGACCAAUACGUUGAGUACCUCAUCGACAGAUCCAAGCUUCCAUGAUGCUUCUCAAAGAUUGGUGGAGGGUCGUCGGCUCAGGCAUUUCCGCAAGUCACUGAUCCUAGGAUGUCCUCUGUGGAGAUAAUUGCGUGUUUGAAGGAAUCAAUAGCAAGAGUGGAUCGAUGCACUUCCCUGUUAGAAAGCAGAACUGACUCUCUGAAGGAUGCAGAAGCCGCUUUGAAGAAGAUUGUCUAUGGCAAUAAGUCAAUGGGGAGCAACAUCGAGAAGAUAGGCGAUCGCCUGGUUGUUUUAGGUCUAGCAAAUCUGUUUGUGGUAGUUGUACUGCUCCUGGUGGUGUUAGUGAAGUGAGCAGGGAAUUGUGUAGUGCUUAGUUCUCCUGGUAGUGUUAGCAAAUCAGUUACUAGGUGAGACUGUAUGUUUUGAAUGGUUUAUGACUGGUUGUUCUGAAUGAGACUGUAUGUUUAGCUAACAUCAAUGAGACUGUAUGUUGUGAUGGUUCAUAGUCUGAAUGUAUGUAUGCAUCGUUCAUGACUGAAUAAGUGACAGUCUGAAUAAGUGACAGUCUGAAUAAGUGACAGAACAAACAGAUCACAUAAUUUAGGCCAGCAACUUGAGCUUACAGUCUGAAUUAAGAAACAGUCUGAAUAAGUAGGCCAUCCACUUGAACAAACAGUCUAAAUAAGUCUCUAACAUCACAAGGCAGAAUACACACGAGCAUAGUUCUAGACAUAACUGCCAUCAAAGGCCACAAAAGCAUAGUUGUAGACAACAUGACAAGUCAUCUCUCAAAAGCAUCAUUAGUACGUGAGAAACAUAGAACUUCCACUUAUUUCAGCACAUCCAUCAGUAGCUUCUUCUUGGCCUUGCCUUUGCCAUGUCUUGCCAUCCUGCAGCUCAGAAGCAUGAAUCCUCCACCUGCACUUUUUACUUUUGCUGUCUUUGCCCUUGCAGUUCCCUCUGUACCUUUUUGCCUCACUAUAAUGGGCAUGAAUUUCAAACUCAUGGAGCACAGCAUACUGUUUAAUUGCCCUCUUAAAUGUGUCUCCAUCUUCAAAUGUGACACCAACAGCAAUGGUUGGGUUCUCCAAGUAAGUCACAUGUUCAACUUUCUCACAACCAGCUGCAUCGUCAACAAACAGGUCAUCCAUCUCACAAGAGUCACCAUCAGUUGAGUGCCCAUCAUGUACUGCCUGAUCUUCACCGUCAGAUAAAUAUGGGUGCUCAUCAUUUAGACCAACAUAUUCCAUCUCAUCCUCAUCCCAUGGUUCUUCAUCAGUUUGAACAUUCCCUCUCUUACAUUUCUUAGACUUAGUUUUGGAUGUCCAUGUCUUAUCCUCAUCAACGGACUCAGUCAAAGUUGGAGGAAGAGGCUCUGUGGCAACGGUAGCACCGACGACAUGCUCUACAAAAGGUUCAACAGAUUCACUUUGGCUAUGGUCCAUUGUCACUGUGUCAUAAACUGACGCAAACAGAGCCAACCUUCUCAUUUCCCAAUACAGGUCCAUUGCCUCCAUCAAAAUGGCAUCAGAGGUAACAUUCAUGAAAACAGACACAUUCCUGUUCCAAAAGCAAAUUGAUAUUCCCUGAUUCGUACCAAGCUUCACUCCCUCUGAUAUUUCCUCUAUUAGGUCCUUCAAGUUGGUUGUAUCACGAUCCACAACUAGCUGAAGAACUGAGUCACGGUGUACUACAGAACUACCAUCAUUGCAAACCUCGACAUACUGUGGAACGCGCACAGCAAUUCUGCACGCCGAACUACUAUCCAUCCUAAAACAAAGGAAACAAAGAUAUGGAACAAUGACAAGUGAGAAGAUCCAAACCCUAAAUCAACUUGACCGAGUUGGUAUACCCAAAUCCAACCACAUUACGUAGUCUGAAACCAUAAAUCGAACGCUAGCAAAAAGAUAAUGUAUAAAUGCUUACCCUUCUGGGACCCAAUCCAGAUUCAAGCCCUUCGACGGUGAUGCGUUCCUCGGCCACAAGCUCUUCUUCCCUUGCCUCGACCCCACGCGCUUCUUCCCUUUCUCUGGAGCCAUCUUCUCCAACUCCUCUAUGCUUCGACUAGCUACUCCUCUGGCCCCAUAGCUGCGGAGAGCAGGGCAACGACGGAGGAGGGCACCGACGGUGCGGGGGUUCAGAGA